rnacentral:rRNA from 1 species
AGAACGAACGCUGGCGGCAUGCCUAAUACAUGCAAGUCGAACGAACACUUCGGUGUUAGUGGCGCACGGGUGCGUAACGCGUGGGAAUCUGCCCUUGGGUUCGGAAUAACAGUUGGAAACGACUGCUAAUACCGGAUGAUAUCGAAAGAUCAAAGAUUUAUCGCCCAGGGAUGAGCCCGCGUAGGAUUAGCUAGUUGGUGAGGUAAAGGCUCACCAAGGCGACGAUCCUUAGCUGGUCUGAGAGGAUGAUCAGCCACACGUGGGACU